rnacentral:rRNA from 1 species
AGUGAACGCUGGCGGUAGGCCUAACACAUGCAAGUCGAACGGCAGCACAGUAAGAGCUUGCUCUUACGGGUGGCGAGUGGCGGACGGGUGAGGUAUACAUCGGAAUCUACUUUUUCGUGGGGGAUAACGUAGGGAAACUUACGCUAAUACCGCAUACGACCUACGGGUGAAAGCAGGGGAUAUUCGGACCUUGCGCGAUUGAAUGAGCCGAUGUCGGAUUAGCUAGUUGGCGGGGGAAAGGCCCACCAAGGCGACGAUCCGUAGCCGGUCUGAGAGGAUGGUCCGCCACACUGGAACUGAGGCACAGUCCAGACUCCUACGGGAGGCAGCAGUGGGGAAUAUUGGACAAUGGGGGCAAGCCUGAUACAGCCAUACCGCGUGAGUGAAGAAGGCCUUCGGGUUGUAAAGCCCUUUUGUUGGGAAAGAAAAGCAGUAGGUUAAUACCCCGCUGUUCUGACGGUACCCAAAGAAUAAGCACCGGCUAACUUCGUG